rnacentral:rRNA from 1 species
UACGUAGGGUGCGAGCGUUGUCCGGAAUUAUUGGGCGUAAAGAGCUUGUAGGCGGUUUGUCGCGUCUGCUGUGAAAAUCCGGGGCUCAACUCCGGACUUGCAGUGGGUACGGGCAGGCUAGAGUGUGGUGGGGGAGACUGGAAUUCCUGGUGUAGCGGUGGAAUGCGCAGAUAUCAGGAGGAACACCGAUGGCGAAGGCAGGUCUCUGGGCCACUACUGACGCUGAGAAGCGAAAGCAUGGGGAGCGAACAGG